AGAGUUUGAUCCUGGCUCAGAUUGAACGCUGGCGGUAUGCUUAACACAUGCAAGUCGAACGGUAACAGCAGAGCUUGCUCUGGCUGACGAGUGGCGGACGGGUGAGUAACGCGUAGGAAUUUGCCCAGUAGUGGGGGACAACCUGGUGAAAACCAGGCUAAUACCGCAUAAUCCCUACGGGGCAAAGCAGGGGACCUUCGGGCCUUGCACUAUUAGAUGAGCCCGCGUUGGAUUAGCUUGUUGGUAGGGUAAUGGCCUACCAAGGCGACGAUCCGUAGCUGGUUUGAGAGGAUGAUCAGCCACACUGGGACUGAGACACGGCCCAGACUCCUACGGGAGGCAGCAGUGGGGAAUAUUGCACAAUGGACGAAAGUCUGAUGCAGCAACGCCGCGUGUGCGAUGAAGGCCUUCGGGUCGUAAAGCACUUUUAUGAGGGAAGAGCAAGGACGGUACCUCAUGAAUAAGGAUCGGCUAACUACGUGCCAGCAGCCGCGGUAACACGUGGGAUCCAAGCGUUAUCCGGAUUUACUGGGCGUAAAGCGCGUGUAGGUGGUUUGGUAAGUUGGAUGUUAAAUCUCCCGGCUCAACCGGGAGUUGUCGUUCAAAACUGCCAAACUAGAGGACGGUAGAGGGAGGUGGAAUUCCCGGUGUAGUAGUGAAAUGCGUAGAUAUCGGGAGGAACACCAGUGGCGAAGGCGGUACCCUGGCCCGUUUCUGACACUCAGACGCGAAAGCGUGGGGAGCGAACAGGAUUAGAUACCCUGGUAGUCCACGCCCUAAACGAUGUUCACCAGUUGCUGGGAGAUUCGACCCUUUCAGUGACGCAGCUAACGCAUUAAGUGAACCGCCUGGGGAGUACGAUCGCAAGGUUGAAACUCAAAGGAAUUGACGGGGGCCCGCACAAGCGGUGGAGCAUGUGGUUUAAUUCGAUGAUACGCGAGGAACCUUACCUGGGCUCAAAUGUAAGUUGACAGUUUCUGAAAGGGAAUUUUCUUCGGACAAUUUACAAGGUGCUGCAUGGUUGUCGUCAGCUCGUGCCGUGAGGUGUCGGGUUAAGUCCCAUAACGAGCGCAACCCCUACUCUUAGUUGCCAGCAUGUAAUGAUGGGGACUCUAGGAGAACUGCCUACGCAAGUAGAGAGGAAGGUGGGGAUGACGUCAAAUCAGCACGGCCCUUACGUCCAGGGCUACACACGUGCUACAAUGGCCGGUACAGAGGGCAGCCACCUGGUGACAGGGAGCGAAUCUCUAAAGCCGGUCUCAGUUCGGAUCGAAGUCUGCAACCCGACUUCGUGAAGCUGGAAUCGCUAGUAAUCGCGCAUCAGCCAUGGCGCGGUGAAUACGUUCCCGGGCCUUGUACACACCGCCCGUCAAGCCAUGGAAGCUGGGGGUACCUGAAGUCGGUGACCGUAAAGGAGCCGCCUAGGGUAAAACUAGUGACUGGGGCUAAGUCGUAACAAGGUAACC
rnacentral:rRNA from 1 species